AAUUCUCUAAAUAAUUUAUUAAAUAAAUUAAUUUGUGUUUGUAAAUUGUGCUACAAUUAAGUAAAAGAUACGUAUGAAAGUGUUUGGUGUAAUUUGUUGUGUUUAGUUUCAAAUUGUAGAAAACAAAAUGGUCGCCACAAGAGGAAAUGCAGUUAUAUUAACAAAUUUAGUAAAUAAGAAAUGGCAAGAGCUUAAUACAAGAUUGGAAAUGUUUGUGCGCCUGGUAUUCAUUUACUGAUUUUUGACAAAAUAUUGAUAUUUGUGACAGAACAUAGAAAGAAUGAGAAGGAUGGAAGGAGGAAUGAAUCUUUUUAUUGUUGGUGUAGUUUAAUUUAUUAUACAUAUUAUAAAUUUGCAUCUUACUAAAAAUUCUUUUCGACUAGUAAUAUAAUAAUAAAUUUCUUUGUAGUUAAUAAACAAUUUUACGAAUAACCACCAAACAAUUGGUCAAUUCACAAGGUCUCUUACCAGACAUAUUGUCAUAAUGUCCUAAUAUACCACGACUCGGCGGCUCGACUUAACCGACUCCUAGGAUCCCUUUCACACUAUGCAAUUUAGUUGCGCAAGUCUCUUGUGUUUGUAGAUGGCAGAGGUAAUGUCGGGUUAAGGAGAAGAAAAUUUUACAUGUUGUUUUGUUGUUGGGCAAGAGACUUGCGCAACUAAAUUUCCUAGUGUGAAAGGGGUCUAGGCAUUCGGCGCAGGUCUCUACUGGUUGGUUACGAUAACACAAUAAACAUAGCAUACAGAGUAGUAUUAUUUUAGGAAAUUUUUUGCUUGCAAAGCAAUAACAAUAAUUGUGAAACAUUAGGACAUUAUGACAAUAUGACAUAAGAUACCUUGUUCAAAUUCUAAUUUCAAUAAUAAUAAUAAUCUGCUGUUAU